rnacentral:lncRNA from 1 species
UUAUAUUGAUAAUUGGUAAAUCAAACCCAAGACAAGGCGAUUGGGCUACCAGAAUAAUUAGCAUAAACACACCAACUCAUGGGACAACAGAUUGCCCCCAAAAGUUAACUAAAAUUGACCCAGCAAAGAUUUCUAAAUACGCAGAAAAAAUAAACAUUCUAGCAUAUCAGUAGAAAUGACAGAAGCAACAAACCCAGGAGAAACUAGUCAUCUGCCAGGGAAACGCGACAGACAGAACUCCUGCUACUUCCCUUUCCUUCAUCGACCAGAGCUUUUCAGUCCGGGGCGUCCAACAAACUGCGGUCUCGCUCAACCAGAAUCGCCGCAACCUGUGGAAUCCCAUUCCUCAAAAAUAAUUCUUGUUCUUGUUGAAGGCCUUCUCUGGCUAACUAGUUCGCUGCUUCGUUGGCCAAUCUUUUCAAAUGCAUAAAAGGUACAGCUUCGAAAACCUUUACUUAGUCUCUUCACAUCUUCCAUAUAUCCUGUUAUUUCUGAGGAAUCUGUGUCAUCUGUAGUCGCGCGCCUUCUUAUUCACCGUUAGAGAGUCCCCCUUCACCUCUAGGUUUUGUACAUCUAGAUCGGAGCAUAACCUCAACGCCUUCACACAGGCUUUGGCUUCCGCCGCAAAAGGCUUAGAAAUCCUCUUAUGUCAAAUAGAGUAAAAAUUCGAAACCAAAGUAAAAAGAGAAAGAUAAAAGAUGUUCGGGGGUAAUUUGAAUUGAGGAAAGUAAAGGGAGAUGUUUGUGGCGAUUUUUAUGAAAACGACGGUAAUUCAUAUCUUUUGCGGCGUUUUUAAAAAACGCCACUAAGUAUACAGCCCAACAAUUUUUUCUUUCUUUUUUUCCUCUUUUAUUAUUAUUAUUUACUAAAAUGGUUAAAUUUUAAUUUGGUCUCUCUAAAAUAUUUAAAUUUCAGAUUUUUUUACAUAUACUUUAAUUUUUAAUAUCAUUUAGUCUAUAUAUUUUUAUAAUAUUAUUAAUUAAUCCAAAUAGUUAAUAUUAUUAUCUUUUUUAUUAAAAUAUUACAUGAUAAUAUAUAAUUGGAUAACAUGAACUCAACCUACAACUUUACGCACCCUACCAAGACUAAUAGUAGAAUUUAACCAAACAUAUAUAAUUGCUAUCAUUUGAGUGAUCAUGACUAAAAUUUUAAAUUUUGAAAAGUACAAAAGAUAAAAUUGAUCGAUUUGAAAAAUACAGGGACUAAAACUAAUCAAAUUAAAAUAUAAAGACUAAAUUUUAAGUUUAAAUUUCACUAAAAUAAAUUAAAUGUAGAGGAAUUAAUUUGAAUUGAAUUAUUUUUAAUAUAUCAAAAUAUUUUUAGAUUAAAUCUUAAACCAUUUAAUAUAUAUAUAAAGUUUAUCUAUUAUCUCUUAAAUAAUUUAAACUAUAAUCAUAACUUUAAUAUAUUCAAAUUAAUAUUAUCUCUUUUACAAUUAUAUAAGAAAUCGUUUAAUAUAUAAAUAAAAAAAUACUAAUUAAUCUAAACCCUAAACCUCUUAACCCCUAUCCCAUAAACACUAAACCCUAAACCCUUAACUUUAACCCCAAACCCUUACACCUUAAACUCCAACCCUAACCCCUAAACCCAUAAUUCAUCAUAAACCUUCAAAUACUAGUUAACUCCUAAACUUUAAACCCUAAACCAUCUUAAACCAUAAACCUUAAACUAUAAUGAUAAUUAAUUCAAUAUUUUAAAUUCAAUAUUAUCUCUUUUACGAUUAUAUAAGAAAAUAUUUAAUAUAUUGUAUAACCAUAAAUUUUAAUAAUUAUUGUUUUAGGGGUUAUAGAUUAGUGCUUUUGAUUUUUUGGGGGUUUAGGGGUUAUAUGACUUUUAGCGGCGUUUUACCAAAAGCGCUGCUAAUGCUCUGGUUUUUAACGGCGUUUUACUAAAAGCGCCGCUAAUGCUCUGGUUUUUAACGGCGUUUUACCAAAAGCGUCGCUAAUGCUCCGUUUUUAGCGGCGUUUUAGUAAAAAACGCCGCUAUUGCUCUGUGUUUUACAAUUUUUGCGGCGUUUUUUGAUAAAACGCCGUUAAAGCCCUAUUUUCUUGUAGUGCAUGGUUGUACUCUAUCCCGCAUUCAAUCCAAACCGAGCAUCAAAUUCAAUAUUAUAUCUCAAAUUACCAUUUAUUAUCAAUAAUUAAUAAUAAAUAUAUAAGUUUUACCAUGUUAAUCUACUCAACAAUUAAUAUUGAUGUUAAAUUCUAAACCGUACGAACUUACUUGGACUGAAUUGUAAUAGUUGAAGAAGUUCAGGGACUAUUCCGCUAUUUUUCUUUUCCAAGAGUAUCUACGAGAUCUUGAUCUAAAAUGUAAAAUUCCUCAAUUAUUAGCAUACAUUUCAUAUUCCAAUCCAUUUUACAAUUAAUACCCUUUUAUUUUUUAAAUUUAUGCAUUUACCCCAAACUUUUAAAGUUUUUUUAAUUUAGUCCUUCAACCCCAAAUUCAUCAAAUUAACUAUUUUUCUCAAGUUAGUAUCUUAUACAAAAACACUAGGCCCUUGAACAGCCCACAAAGAAUCCUAAAUUCACUUCAAAACCCUAGAAUUUUGUCAUUUCCACAACUUAAUCCCUAACUCAAAAUUUAACAAAAAGUUACUUCACAAAUUCAUCAAACAACACAAUCAAAGGUUCAAAUUAGAGGUGUUCAUGGGCUGGGCUACCCAACACGACCCGAAGGCCCGCCCGAAAUGAGGGAGGGUUUGGGUAAAAAUUUAGGCCUGAAAAAUGGGCAUUGACAAAAAAUAAGGCCCUUUUAAAAAAUAGGUCGGGCAUCAGGUAAGGUAUUUUUUAGCUCGGGCCCGGCCCGAAUUCACUAAAGGACAAAAAAAAUGUGCAUUUUUUUUAUUUUUGAAUGUUAUUUUCUAGUUGUUUUCGCCCUAUUUUGCUACCAUUUUACUAUUAUGUUACUACUAUUUUGUUGUUAUUGUUUGGAUAUUGUAUAAAACUUAUUUUAUUGUUAAUUUUGUUAUUAUUUUAAAGGCAUUUGUUAAUUUUUUUUAUUAUUUUAGAAGCAUUUUCUUGAUAAGUUGCAUCUAUCUUAGUGUUAUUUAAGUCUACAUAUUUUUUAAAAUUUAUUUUUAAUUUGUUGGAAAAUAUUUAUUUUGAUAUUUUUAGUAUUUUUAAUGUAUUAUAUAUAUUUAAAAAUAAUAUAAAAAAUUAAUACGGACGGGCUGGGCCCGGCUCAGGUUUUAGUAUUUUUAUUCGGGUCGGGUUUGGGCAAAAUUUUAGGCCUGUUUUUGAGCCCAGCCCAGCCCGUGCCCAAUAAAUAGGCAUGAUUUUUUAGUUGAGCCCAGCCCGAACCUAGCCCAUGAACACCUCUAGUUCAAAUACAUGGUAUUCAUAAAAAACAUUCAAUAUUUAUCAAUGGCAACUUCCAAAAGUUUUAACAAAAUAAAAAAUAAAGGUAUGGGCUAUAGACCUAGUUGCAAUGAUAUCAAAAACAUAAAAUUACAAGAAAACAGUUCAAUUUACUUACAAUGCAAGGACAGAAGAUGAACAAAGCUUCUUAGGUCAUAAAUGGUGAGGUUUGGCCGAGAAGAAGAGAAAAUGAGAAAAAAUAAAGCUUUUGUUUCAAUUUGUUUCAUUAAUUUUGAAUAAUUUACAAAAUUUCCAUUAAAUCUAUUUUCUUUUAAUUUUUCUUUAAUUAUUAAUCCCAUUACUAUCCCCUACUAACUAAUGAGGUCUAAUUGCCUUAUUGGUCCUUCCAUUUGAAAUAAUUAAACUAUGACCUAACUAUAAUAAUUACUAAGUUUUACAACUUUUUCAAUUUAGUCAUUUUUCAUUAAUUAACUAUCUAAACGUUAAUAUUUUCGAACUAUAUUUUAAUACGACUUUAUUGACUCCAUAAAUAUUUUUAAAAUAAUAUUAACGAGUCAACACAACGGAGAUUUAUGGUCCCGAAACCACUGUUCCUUCACCACUGAAAAUCAAGUUGUUACAACUCUCCCCCUUAGGAAAUUUUGUCCUCGAAGUUGUUACCUGAAAAUAGAUUCGAAUACUGUAAUUUCAUUGAUGUCUUGAUUUCCCAAGUAGCUUCUUCUAAACCAUGACGAUGCCAUAAAAAUUUUAGUAGUGGUACUCAUUUAUUCCACAAUUCUUUAACUUCCAGAGCUAAAAUUCUCACUGGUUUUCCCAAAUACGUCAAGUUAGGCUAUAGCUCGAUUUCACUAUGAGGAAUCACAUGCGAAGGAUCAAAUUUGUACCAUCUCAAUAUCGAAACAUGGAACACAUUAUGGAUUUUCUUGACUGAAAUAAAAUGUGCCAAUUUAGUCAAUCUGUCAACAAGCACCAAGAUCGAAUCUUUCUUUUUUGGAGUUACAAGUAAACCAGAUAUGAAAUCCAUCGUGACUCAUUCCCACUUCCACUCAAAAAUCAUAACAGGUUGUAGUAAACCCAACGGAACCUGAUGUUCUUCUUUCACUUGUUGACAAAUUAAACAUUUAGCUACAAAUUCACAAUUCUCACGUUUCAUACCCGGCCACCAAUACAUUUGUUUCAAAUCAUAAUACAUCUUCAUGCUAGCCGAAUGAAUAGAGUAUGUAUUACUGUGAGCUUCAGAUAGAAUAUCGUGUUUCAAAUCUAGAUUAUUCAGAAUGCAAAUUCUAUCGUGAUAACACAAUGUACCAUUAUCAUCAACAAUGUACUCUAUACUCAAACUAUUCUGAACCAGUUGUCGUUUCAACAUCAUCUUUGGAUCUUCAUCUUGCAAGUCUCGAAUUUUUUAUAGAAACAAGGGUUUCAUUCUAAACUCUGCUAAAACAGAACCAUCUUUAUUUAGAGCUAAAUGAGCAUUCAACAUUCGAAGUGCAAACAAUGACGACUUUUGACUGAGUGCAUCUGUAACUACAUUAGCCUUUCCCAGAUGAUAAUGAAUAACUAGAUCGUAAUCUUUUAAUAGCUGUAACCACCAUCUCUAUCUCAAAUUCAGUUUUUUUUUUAGUCAUCAAAUACUUUAAACUUUUGUGAUCUGUGAACAUGUUACAUUUCUCACCGUAUAAAUAAUGUCUCCAAAUUUUCAAAGCAAAUACAAUUGUGGCCAGGUGGAGAUCAUGAGUAGGAUAAUUCUUUUCAUGUGACUUUAAUUGACGAGAAGCAUAAGCUACUACUUUCCCUGCCUACAUAAGCACACAAGUCAUACCGUUGAGAGAUGCAUCGCUAAAAACAACAUACGCUACCCUAGAUUCAGGCUGAGUCAACACUGGAGCUUUUGUCAACAUGUUCUUCAACUGAUCAAAACUUUGUUGGCACUUAUCGGAUCAAACAAACUCAACAUUUUUUCUAAUAAUAUGGUCAUUGAUGACGCAAUAAUCGAGAAGUUUUUAACAAGAUGUUGAUAGUAACCUGCUAAACCCAGAAAACUUUGCACCUCUGAAACAUUCUUCAGAUUUUUCCAAUUCAUCAUAAUAGAAACUUUACUUGGAUCAACUCGAAUCCCAUCAGCUGAUACUAUGUGACCCAAAAAUUCAACCUCGUAAAGCCGAAAUUCACAUUUACUGUAACAACCCGAUUUUUGGGCCUAGUCGAAAUAGUGGUUUUGAUACCACAAAUAUUAAGUAGAAAUAAUUAUUUCAUGAAUAUGUCGAGGUCUAUGAUAUGUUUGCAUGAUUGUAUGAAAGUUUCGUUAAGAAAUUUUUUUAAUAGUGUCCAAUUUCAUUUUUAGGACUAAAUUGCAAAAGUUUCCAAAUAUGUGAUUCUAGAAGCUUUAAGCAUGAAAUAGCUAAGGAUUAUUAAUUAGAGUUCCUUAAAUAGAAAUUUGACCAAUUUCUAUUUUUAUGGACAAAAAUAGGAAUGAAUAAGUAAAAUUUGAAAGUGUAGUAAAAAGGGCAUUUUGGUCAUUUGGUUAAUAAAAGAAUAAAAAGGGAAAAUUAAGUCAAAAUUUGCUCAUCUUCUCCAUGCCAUAGCCGAAAUUCCUAAGGUCACCAUAGCUAGGGUUUCUUCAACUUUCAAGCUUGAUUGUAAGUGCAUUCUAGCCCCGUUUUUAAUGUUCUUUAGAUUUUUGAAGUUGUUAUCAACCGAUCUAGCCAUUUCUACCAUUUAAUUGAGCUAGGGUUGAUGCUUAGGGUUUGACCCAUGUGUGACAUGCAUUUAUUUUGAUGUUUCAUGGGUAGAUUAUGAAAGUUUUAUGUGUGAUAAACAUUUUUUACUAAGUGAUUUUUCAUGAAAACACCUAAAAAGGACCUAUUUGUAAAAGUUGUAAAAUAUGUAGUAAAAAUUUGAUUUGAUGAAAAAUGUGGGUUUUUAUAAGCAUGAUAUAGGUUCAGCUAGGCUUGGGUAACAAAGAAAAUGAGUACAUUUCAUUUUACGAGCCUAAGGACUAAUUUGUAAAUAUGUGAAAGUUUAGGGGAAAAAUUGUAAUUUUACCAAAAUAUGGUUUUUGGACUGAUUUGAACAAUUUGAUAAUUAAAUGAGCUAAAUUUUCUAUUAUAAAUCGAGAAAAAUAGAGUCCGGACCUAGACCGAGAAAAGAAUAAAGUUGUGGACUAAAUCGAAUUAGUUAGUCAUAUUUUGUACCGAGGUAAGUUCAUGUGUAAAUAAUGCAACUUAUAUUAUGUAUUAAAUAUUUUGUUAUUGCAUGACUUGUACAAUUAUCAUUAUGGAUUCGUUCGACAAAGAUUCGUUAAGGUGAAAUUCCCGGUUGAACCUUAGGAAUAGUUAGGAUACAAAUGUCAUGACAUUAGGGUUAUGAGUUUACAUGUAAGACCAUAUCUGGGAUAUGACAUCGUUAUGAGAUUUCGUGUAAGACCAUGUCUAGGACAUGGCAUUAAUAUGAUAAUCGUGUAAGACCAGAGCUGGGUUAUUGGCAUCAAUAUGAGAAUCAUGUAAGACCAUCGUUGGGCUAUUGGCAUCGAUAUGAGAUCCCAUGUAAGACCAUAUCUAGGAUAUGGCAUUGGUAUGAUUCUAUGUGUAUGUAAUUCCUGAGUAUCCUUUAGUAUUGCAAGUGGUUCAACGGGUAAUUUAAAGAUUAUGUCAAAGAUGUGAAAGGUUAUGAUUAUGUUAUGAAGUGGUACAGGUACGUACGCAAAACUAAUGAGAAAUGAUCUCGGUUUAAGAUGCAUUAUUGGUAAGGAUGCAAAUUAGUAAGAUAUGUUUAUGAACACUUGAUGAAUUUGUGCUAAUUUACAUUAUGUUAUAUAUAUGUUAUUGUAUGUUUAAAUUUGUUUAUUAUUUACAUGCUAACUUACUAAGCUUAAAGCUUACCCCCUUCCUUUUCAUUUCUUAUAGUGUCAUCAAGCCAUCUCGGGGAUCGAAGAUGGUAAGAGAUUCGUUCACACUAUCAAAUUAUUGUUUUUAGUACUUAUGAUUCCAUUAUUUUAAGUUAUGGCAUGUAUAGGGACUUGAUCUUUUUGUGAUAUGUAUCAUUAUUGAUUUGGCCAACUGUGUUAGCUUGUAAUGGUAAUUGAUUCAUUUUGUAAAUGACCAUAUGGUAUUGGCUAAUAUUGAUUAAAUAUAUAUACAUAUGAUGAUGCCUU